UACGAAGGGGGCUAGCGUUGUUCGGAAUUACUGGGCGUAAAGCGCACGUAGGCGGAUUGUUAAGUCAGAGGUGAAAUCCCGGAGCUCAACUUCGGAACUGCCUUUGAUACUGGCAAUCUCGAGUCCGGAAGAGGUUAGUGGAAUUCCCAGUGUAGAGGUGAAAUUCGUAGAUAUUGGGAAGAACACCAGUGGCGAAGGCGGCUAACUGGUCCGGUACUGACGCUGAGACGCGAAAGCGUGGGGAGCGAACAGG
rnacentral:rRNA from 1 species